rnacentral:rRNA from 1 species
GACGAACGCUGGCGGCGUGCUUAACACAUGCAAGUCGUACGGUAAGGCCCUUUCGGGGGUACACGAGUGGCGAACGGGUGAGUAACACGUGAGUAACCUGCCCACAACUUUGGGAUAACGCUAGGAAACUGGUGCUAAUACUGGAUAUGUGCUCCUGCUGCAUGGUGGGGGUUGGAAAGCUCCGGCGGUUGUGGAUGGACUCGCGGCCUAUCAGCUUGUUGGUGGGGUAGUGGCCUACCAAGGCGGCGACGGGUAGCCGGCCUGAGAGGGUGACCGGCCACAUUGGGACUGAGAUACGGCCCAGACUCCUACGGGAGGCAGCAGUGGGGAAUAUUCACAAUGGGCGCAAGCCUGAUGCAGCAACGCCGCGUGCGGGAUGACGGCCUUCGGGUUGUAAACCGCUUUCAGCAGGGACGAAGCUUUUUGUGACGGUACCUGCAGAAGAAGCACCGGCUAACUACGUG